rnacentral:misc_RNA from 1 species
GAUAAUUGCCAUUACAUUGUGGCCAAUACUAGCUGCCACAUGCUAUUUUUUAUAAGAGUAAACUUACAAAGAAAAGCUCUUGAAUGUAAUAUGAUGAGCUCAAGGAGGUAAAAUGGGGCGAUUUUCUGGAUCGAAUAUUCCAGCAACUAAAACAAUAAUAAUCCAGAACAAAAGGAUACCCACCACAGCCUUUCUUAAGACCCGGUCACAGUUAUAAUUCGUUGGAAUUUCAAUAUGUUCACCUGAAUGAAGAGGUGCUAGGUCUAGUGGAUUGUUAAUAAUUUCACUUACCGCUGUCUCUUGAUGGUCGUCAUUCAUGAGAGUGUUAUGCGUCUUGCUCAUGCCAAAG